rnacentral:rRNA from 1 species
ACUCAAAUGAAUAGACGGGGGCCCGCACAAGCAGCGGAGCAUGUGGUUUAAUUCGACGCAACGCGAAGAACCUUACCUGGGCUUGACAUGUUCCUGACAGGUGUGGAAACACACUCUUCCUUCGGGACAGGAUCACAGGUGGUGCAUGGCUGUCGUCAGCUCGUGUCGUGAGAUGUUGGGUUAAGUCCCGCAACGAGCGCAACCCCCGUCGUAUGUUGCCAGCAUUUAGUUGGGGACUCAUACGAGACUGCCGGUGACAAACCGGAGGAAGGUGGGGAUGACGUCAAGUCAUCAUGCCCCUUAUGUCCAGGGCUACACACGUGCUACAUUGGCGCAUACAAAGGGCAGCGAUACCGCGAGGUGGAGCGAAUCCCAAAAAGUGCGUCUUGGUUCGGAUUGGAGGCUGAAACUCGCCUCCAUGAAGUCGGAGUUGCUAGUAAUCCCGGAUCAGCAACGCCGGGGUGAAUACGUUCCCGGGCCUUGUACACACCGCCCGU